GACGAAGGGGGCUAGCGUUGUUCGGAAUUACUGGGCGUAAAGCGCGUGUAGGCGGUUGUCCAAGUCAGGUGUGAAAGCCUUGAGCUCAACUCAAGAAAUGCACUUGAUACUGGAUGACUAGAGGACCGGAGAGGAUAGUGGAAUUCCCAGUGUAGUGGUGAAAUACGUAGAGAUUGGGAAGAACACCAGUGGCGAAGGCGGCUAUCUGGACGGUUACUGACGCUAAGACGCGAAAGCGUGGGGAGCGAACAGG
rnacentral:rRNA from 1 species